GUGGGGAAUAUUGGACAAUGGGCGAAAGCCUGAUCCAGCCAUGCCGCGUGUGUGAAGAAGGUCUUCGGAUUGUAAAGCACUUUAAGUUGGGAGGAAGGGCAGUAAGUUAAUACCUUGCUGUUUUGACGUUACCGACAGAAUAAGCACCGGCUAACUUCGUGCCAGCAGCCGCGGUAAUACGAAGGGUGCAAGCGUUAAUCGGAAUUACUGGGCGUAAAGCGCGCGUAGGUGGUUUUGUAAGUUGGAGGUGAAAUCCCCGGGCUCAACCUGGGUACUGACUCCAAAACUGCAUGACUAGAGUACGGUAGAGGGUAGUGGAAUUUCCUGUGUAGCGGUGAAAUGCGUAGAUAUAGGAAGGAACACCAGUGGCGAAGGCGACUACCUGGACUGAUACUGACACUGAGGUGCGAAAGCGUGGGGAGCAAACAGGAUUAGAUACCCCGGUAGUCC
rnacentral:rRNA from 1 species